rnacentral:tRNA from 2 species
CCGGACGUACGCAAGCGGUAUGCGGCGAAGUUUGGGACUUCGAAGUCGCGAGUUCGAUCCUCGCCGUCCGGAC